rfam:Ictidomys tridecemlineatus contig097242, whole genome shotgun sequence.
GGGGUUGUGGCUCAGUGGUAGAGCACUUGCCUUGCAAGUGUGGGACCCUAGGUUCGAUCCUCAGCACCA